rnacentral:rRNA from 1 species
UCGGAUUGUAGUCUGCAACUCGACUACAUGAAGCUGGAAUCGCUAGUAAUCGCGGAUCAGAAUGCCGCGGUGAAUACGUUCCCGGGUCUUGUACACACCGCCCGUCACACCAGUGGGAGUCAGUAACGCCCGAAGCCGGUGACCCAACCUAACAAGGGAGGGAGCCGUCGAAGGCGGGACGGAUGACUGGGGUGAAGUCGUAACAAGGUAAC